rnacentral:rRNA from 1 species
UGGGGAAUAUUGGACAAUGGGGGCAACCCUGAUCCAGCAAUGCCGCGUGAGUGAUGAAGGCCUUCGGGUUGUAAAGCUCUUUUGGCGGGGACGAUGAUGACGGUACCCGCAGAAUAAGCCCCGGCUAACUUCGUGCCAGCAGCCGCGGUAAUACGAAGGGGGCUAGCGUUGUUCGGAAUUACUGGGCGUAAAGGGCGCGUAGGCGGUCCUGAUCGUCGGAUGUGAAAGGCCUGGGCUCAACCUGGGAAUGGCAUCCGAUACGGCGGGACUGGAGUGUGGGAGAGGUUGGUGGAAUGCCCAGUGUAGAGGUGAAA